GCCUCCUGAGUAGCUGGGACUACAGGCGCCCGCCACCACGCCCAAUUUUAUAAGCUUGGAUCUUCUCAUUCUGAACCCAACUAUACACAUUUCCUGUAGCUACAAGAACCAGCAUGGUUUGUGACUGAAAUGGGCUAUUGUUAAAAUGAUAUAUUACCCGUAAGCUCUCCCCAUGUACAAAAAUUUGUAACACUGGUCUACUCCUGUUGUAGAUAUUUUCUAUCUUCUCUGGCGCAAUGUAUUCUCCUUGGGCAAGCUUGAAAAUGUUCUUUUUACGGUCGAUGAUCUUCAGAGUUCCAUUCUACAUGAGACAGAUACAAGUAUCAGUAUUUUUGAGCCACAGAGAUGGUAUCAGUGGGGAGAGUGGUGAAGUCACAGUCAUCUUUCUUCUCUAAAGCUGAUUUCUCCCAGAGACUUUUGAGCUGUCUUUCAUUUCUCUUUCUUGGCUUUGGGGAAAGGGGAGGGAAGCAUCGUGCAGCAAGAACCUGUCUUUACUGUAUAUCUAUGUGGAGAGUCAAUGCGCAGCCUCAGAGAAAGUCUCCCGGAUCUGCUGGGGUUACGCAAAUUGAUGCCUCAUCCAAGAAAGAAAUUGCGCAGCUCUCAGUUUCCAAUCACUAAUUUCCAAUUAGUUCAUUUUCAGAACUCUCAGCGAUAAGAGGUGUUGUCUUUUGUUUAGACUUUUGAUUUGAUAUGAAUAGUUCUCCCACCGCUUGACUCCCUGUUAUGUUUUCCUCCUUGUUAGAUCCGGGAGUAAGCUCAAAAAGCUCCACUGUGCUAAUCAAGCAAGUCAAUUACUGGGCUUGUUAGGACAGCAACAGGGCUGAGAGGAUUCCGACCGGCCACCAAAGGUCAUUUGCAGCUUCAUUUCUCUGAACUAAUUGGUCUGAGGAGCUUAGGUCUUUAGGGAUUUGAAUUGUAGCAUUGGGAUAAAUGGCAAAUACAAUCCACAUGCUAACACCCUAAGUAGGGCGACUAACUAAACCCACUGUGGAACUAUCACAAGGCAGACUUCAUAAAUUAGCCAUCAAUUCAGCAGAACGUUCAUUAUCUGAAAGUGAUUGAUAAGGUGCCGCCUUCUAUAACCCUGGUGUGGGGACAUAUCUAUUGCUUAUGUCCUAGGCUUAUUAGAGUGUUAUUUAAUCCCGUUACUAGACAGAAACAAAUAUGUUAGCAAACUACCAAACCCAAAUCAAUAAAAUGCAUCGUUAGGACCAGUGUUAUUAAAAGUUACAUUGUCAAGCAUUCCUUAAAUCUCACUUAAAUCUUACAUAUUGAUUGAGCAAGAAGGGAGUUUUAAAUUCUAGUUACAUUCCCACUUCCCCAGCACCUAGUUAAGACAAAACUUUUGAGAGGGGAGAUCUUUUGGAAAAUCCCAUCACUGCCCUUGCAAUAAUUUCCUAUCUUCUUACGAAAAUAGCAACUACUGCUAGUUAUCAUCAAGCUAUGCUAAAAAUAUGUCUCUGGAUCUUCCACAGAAAGGGGCUGUCAAGGUCAAUGAGAGACAAACACUAGCCUCUGCAAACACUUGAUUUAGAAAUCCUUCUUCCUUGUUUUGAUAUGCCUGUGAAUUAAUAGGGAGGAUACUUAUCCCAAGACACUCAUAAGAGGCAAAAGUUGUGGAUCAACAGCAUUAUCAAACCAAAAUUUUUUGGGUUUUUGUUUUGUUUUGGUAGACACAGGGUCUUGCUAUGUUGCUCAGGCUGGUCUCAAACUGCUGGCCUCAAACAAUCCUCCCGCCUCAGUCUCCUAAAGUGUUAGGACUUGGCCUCAAAUGACAACUUCUGCCUCAAGAAAAGU